UCCCCAACCUCCCUCCUCGCACCGGGACGAGCCGGCUUCGCCAGAGCUCAGCCCGGGCGGUAGGGGCUAGGCACCCAUACCCGUUCCGCCCCCUCCCGCAGAUCCCCUUGCAGUCUCCGCCGACCUGCCCGGCGAGGAGAGGACGCAGCAACUCCCCCGCCACCCCGGACUUACCUCGGUGUCUGUUGCUCCAUGCCCCAACCUGCGGCCCGCUCCCCCUACGUACCAGCCCGGCCUCGGCACUCACCGGAGGUACUGCGCGCUCUGCAGGCUCAUCCUCCGCCGCCGCCGCCGCGUCUUCCCGCGAAGCCUCCGUGGGUCUCUCAGGCUCCUCGGAGCGGCCCCGCGGCACCGCGGGUGCUGGCGGCCGCCGCCAUCUUCCUCUCCUCCGGCUCCUCCUCGCUCGGCAGGGGGGUGGGGGUGAAUGAGGCGAGGGGGAGGGAGUGGGGAAAGCUGCUCUCGCUGCUGCUCUGGCCCGUGGGGCGCAGGGACACUCCGACCCGGGGGGGAGGGGGAGGGAGGAGGGGCGGGGGAAAGAGGAGAAGCAGAGGAAGUCGGCGACCGGGCGAGGGAGGGGGUCCCUCUCGCGAGAUUUCAGCAGCGCCUGUCCCUCAGUGAUUUCCGCCUCUCUGUAGCGCUCCCUUUUGGGAUCAACGAGCUGUGUGGCGCCUGUGCGGCUUCUGAGAGACCGGCUGGUGGCGCUUGGCGGCUUCCUGCCAAUCCACCCUUCUCCUCCCGCGCAAGGGGGCAAUCCCAAUCCCACCACCGGGAACACCCAGGCCAAAAGAACGGGAGUUACACUCAAAGUCUUCCCCCUUCUUAUCACUCCUGCCGAUUUCCCUCUUCCUUUUUGCACGCCUCCACUCUUCCCCACCGGAAACGCCGCCCCUUCCUCCUACAGUUCCUCCCAGCAGUCCCUCAACGCCUGUCUUCCCUCGCGCGUAGAGAGUGACUCGAAGGACCCCCUCUCCUCUUCGCUGCAGCCCCUCCCCAUGCACGCUGGGAGACUCUUGGAGGGGAUAAGGUGGGGCCCGGAGAGGAAGAGAAGACAAUCGGAUUGGAUAGGCAGCUGCCAUGGCAACUGGAGGCUGUGGUUAUAUUGUCAUAGUAACCGAUGUGUGCGGACAGGGUCACCCUCCCCUUGGCCAAUGGAUUCCCAGGAAACCACCCAGGGUUCCCCGUUGGCUUCCCUUCCAUCUAAAGGCCUCCCCCAAGUUAGGAAUCGAUAUAGUUCUCCCCGGUGGUGAAGUCCACUUCCUCCUCCCUUCCCACUUCCCACAGCAACUGGGGGGACACCCCGAGGCAUUCACCAUGGGCUUUUCCACCCGCCUGCGAGCGGGAACCACCUCCGUAGUUUCCUCUCAGAGCCGGGCGUGGAGAGGGCUGGGCCUGCGAAGAGGAUGCAUGGCCUGGAGGCUGGCGGGCGGCGGGCUGGAGUCGGGAGGGCGAGGCGACAGCGCCAAGCGGCGAGGAAGGGCAAGGGGUUUCCCCACAACUGCCUUGGGCUCUGGGAGGCGGGAUCCCGCCUGGACGGGGUCCCUGAGGGAGGAGAGCGGCACACGACAGCCGCGAUGCCUUCCCUGCCGACGGGGAUAGCCGACUUCUGGCGAGUCGACCCCUCCCCCAAAUCCACCCCACCCGCGUACUCCCUCCUGACCUAGCUGUCGCGAGCCUGCCGCGAGGAGGCCAGGGUGAGGGUGGGAACACAUCCUAGAAGGCUAACACGUGGUUUUCUAUCAUUUAAGCCGGGGACAAGCCGGAAGGCUGACUAGCGCCAUCACUCUGAUAGGCACCCCGCAGUGGGGAUCCUGCUUGAUUAUUAAAGGCAGACCUCCAAGUUCCUCCCUGCUCUGCAACCUUUCUCUUCUCACGGGUCUGCAGUGUUUUAAAAGUCGUCAUUCUGUGUCGUUGAGUUAGAGAGGAAAACAUCGGAUAAAAGAGGAUCAAGAAGAACGAACCCUAGAUACAUCUGUCUGGUGAAAGGAGUCUAGGAAAAGAAGUUUCAUUCUUAGAACAAAUCUUUUUGGAUAUUUAUUAUGUGUGUUUUGUGUCAGGUUUCGGGCCAAAAAGCUGAAAUAAAGAACGAAGUCAA
rnacentral:lncRNA from 10 species